AGUGAACGCUGGCGGUAGGCCUAACACAUGCAAGUCGAACGGCAGCACAGUAAGAGCUUGCUCUUACGGGUGGCGAGUGGCGGACGGGUGAGGAAUACAUCGGAAUCUACUUUUUCGUGGGGGAUAACGUAGGGAAACUUACGCUAAUACCGCAUACGACCUACGGGUGAAAGCAGGGGAUCUUCGGACCUUGCGCGAUUGAAUGAGCCGAUGUCGGAUUAGCUAGUUGGUGGGGUAAAGGCCCACCAAGGCGACGAUCCGUAGCUGGUCUGAGAGGAUGAUCAGCCACACUGGAACUGAGACACGGUCCAGACUCCUACGGGAGGCAGCAGUGGGGAAUAUUGGACAAUGGGCGUAAGCCUGAUCCAGCCAUACCGCGUGGGUGAAGAAGGCCUUCGGGUUGUAAAGCCCUUUUGUUGGGAAAGAAAAGCAGCAGGUUAAUACCCCGCUGUUCUGACGGUACCCAAAGAAUAAGCACCGGCUAACUUCGUG
rnacentral:rRNA from 1 species